AAUCAGGUUGAUGGAAAAAUUGUUCCCUGUAAGAAGAUGCAGUAACUCUUUCAUGCCACUAGGGUAUUAAUAUUAGGGGGAAAGAAGCAACUGAUUAGAAUCCCAGAAGAGCUGUUAAAUCCCAGGAGAGAAUCAGAGUGCAGAAGCAUCUUCAGUUGGAGAGCCAUUGCCUCUUGCUGUGAAAUAUUUGGGAAUCUUCAGAAACCAUGAAGAAUAACCUGCUAAAGGCCACCAAGUUCUAUUGAACAUCAUGAAUCCUAUGCUCAAGUGAGAUCAGCUCAAGUGAGACCAGAUAUCUGAAGACCUUUUCAUUUUCGCCACCCUCAAAUGAAGGCAUGCAAGCUUAUGUUGACACAUCGUUCUAGGAAGAAAACAGAACAUUUCUGCUCAUCAGUGUUUUGCAGUAAGAACUUGUGACCCCUAAUUGUCAAUAUAUCCUGUGGGACGGUAGGUUUUAUGCCUUAACAGAGGCCACAUCAGUGUGCCCUCUGCCCAAAUAGCCCUCUUCCCAUCACUUGAUGGGAUGACAUUGGCUAGGGCAUGACCAAUGGAAGAAGGCCAUUUUACCUUCUUCCCAUGUUGCUCACACACUUAAAUGUUCAGGGCUUUUCUGUGCUCUCAAGGCCACACUCCUCAACCAAAUAAGAAAGAACUCACAUGAUGGGAUGACACUGAGUAGGGUACUGUCUAACUCAUUGCUCACCUCUUAGAAUGGAAGGACAACACAUUCAGUUGUUGCUAAUGCCUUAGAAUGAAUAUGUUUGUUAGGUGGCUCUUUUGGGGCUAGUUCAAAAAGGCCACUGACAAGAAUGGGAGGAGACUAGAUCGGUCAUGUUGGGGAAUAAAGGGUGAGAUGAAGGAUCCAUGAAAGAGCCAUACAUGUGGAUUACCUGGGAGAGCCCAUGAAGACCCUGGUACCUGGAGAGUGGAGUGGGCAAGAAAUAAAAGGGCAAUUCAGAAGGGAGAGUGGUAGCCUGAACAGAAACUUCCAAACUGUAAUAAUCAAGGAUUCGGAGAAAGCUUAAUAUGGGGAUCUCCAGAGACUGAAUUUGCAGAACAAGUGAAGCAGCACAGGGGCUGCCGUUGGUGAACAUUCUAACCUUGGUCACCCAGUUAAUGUGCUAUAGCUUCUGGGGAAUACACUUGUCGUAACUGCCACCAAAUAGUGAGGUUUUCCUUGAGUAAUGAGAAGAAAAAUGCAUUCACUACCUCAAUUCAGUACACAAAGCCCGCAAAGGAUAGUUUUACAGGGUUUUAAUAUCUUCCUGAGCUUUUUAAUGAGGGAAACCAAGCACGUCAUAUCUGCUUUGCUGAAACUUUAAGAUUAAUGUGGCUGAGUGCAGUGGCUCACGCUUGUAAUCCCAGCACUUUGGGAGGCCUAGUCAGGUGGAUCACCUGAGGUCAGGAGCUCGAGACCAGCCUGGCCAGCAUGGUGAAACCACAUCUCUACUAAAAAUACAAACAUUAGCCAGGUUUGGUAGUGGGUGCCUGUAAUCCCAGCUACUUGGGAGGCUGAGGCAGGAGAAUUGCUUGAACCCAGGAGGUGGAGGUUGCAUGAGCCAAAGUCGUGCCUCUGCACUCCAGCCUGGGCAACACAGCGAGACUCCAUUUCAAAACAACAACAACAAAAAAAAAAAAAGAUUAAUGUACAAGAAGUAAAAUAUGUGGUAAAAAAUAAGUUGUCCGUAUUCAAUACUUGUAAAAGCAAACUUUGCAAGUUGUGCUUCUAAUUCAUUCAUGACAAAAAAGCUCCACCAAGCUUCCAUUCAGCACUGGCAAACACUGCAUCAACACUCCCCCUCCCUUAUUCCAGACAGACAUUAACACGUUGUCCACAGUCUCUUACACAGCUGAAAUCUUUAUCAUCUUAUAUCUCAAUGCUGUGCUGCAGGAAGCCAUGAAAAAUUAAUCGGGACUGGUAUCCCAGGUGGAGCUUGUGUGAACCUGGUAACUUAAUCCCUGCCAUGUACUAGGAGAACCCAGGUUAUGUAAAAUCAUGCCAUUGCAUAAGUUUGUCUUUUCUGUCCUGGUCACUGGCCAUUUUGCCUUCUUCCCAUGUUGCUCACACACUUAAAUGUUAGGGCUUUUCUGUGCUCUCAAGGCCACAUUCCUCAACCAAAUAAGAAAGAACUCACAUGUUUCUGAUCAUUUAUUGACUAAUUAUAGAUAACUAUAGAUAGUUCUUAAAGGGGUCAGUUGGUGGUACUGUCAAUGUUUCCUUCCUCCCAAAUGUUUCUUUGAUUUUCCUAAGGAUGAAUUAGCUGCCCUGCUUCCAAGCAUAACAAGAAAUGUAAGUGCAUUUCUACUAAAAGUAAAUCUUUCUCUCACAGUGUCCAGCAUUGUGGGAUCUCUGUUAAUCGCUGUUUAUAUGUGAGCCUUUAAAGAAUGAACAUAAUGUCAGUUUUGCCUGGGGUAAAUUCUUUUAUUCCUUAUUCAGUUUUCUUACCCAGAAGAUUUCCCAUCUGAAUCACUUUUACCUGGUUUGUUUGACUGGCACGUGGAUCCACUUAUUGAGAUUCCAACUCAAGCUCAUUUGGAAAAAAAACUAGAGACUGCACAUUUUGAAACAGAAAUUCUCCAGGACCUGAUCCUGGCAUCUUCCAUGUCUCUCUAAGGUCUAGAAAGCACACCUGCUUUCACUGAUUCUGAUAGAGGCCUCUGCUGAUUUUCAAAAGGGUCAUAUGAGAAUUCUGAGAGUUCUGCACAACUUAAGAUGCCUCUUGGGAGAACUAGCAAGACUAGGAGACAGACCCUUUCCCCAUGCUGUGCUUAUAGGGUUACCUGACAACAAAGGUUUGCUCCCUACCCCUCAAAAUACCAUGCACUUUUCUGACUCAGCUUUGAGUCACACUACUGAAGGGUGGCAGGCUAUGCCACCCCCAAAUAUGCCACUUUGACAUAAGGAUCACUUCAAGCCAGAGGCACUUGAAAAAGAGCAGAUUCAAGAAGAUUACAUGUAUUCUAAUCUUCCCUUUCUUUUCCCUGAAGGUAGGAGAUAAAAACUAUCAUGUGGAAGAUGCCCUCCCUGUGCCAAGAGAAAAGAAACAUUCUUCCAUGAAGACUCAUAGCCGAGAUAAUUCCGUAUAAACAGACCUUGUUAAAAGAAUUAUCUCCCUUUGGCCUCCCCACAAAAUUUAGAUACUUUUCCACAAUUGCCUCUUUACAAAAUCAUGUAAGCCUUGCUUUUUUUUUUAUCUUCAUUUUCUCAUGAGGGCUCCUGUGUCAUGUAAAAUAUGUUAAAUUUAUACGCUUUUCUCUUGUUAAUUUAUCUUACGUCAAUUUAAUUCUCAAGCCCAGCAGAGACCCUAGAAGGGCAGAGGUAAAUUUUUGCCUGCACUACACUAUUGAUCCCAAAACACACACACAGAGAGAGAGAGAGAGAAAGAGAGAGAGAGAAACUCUCUUCCUAUUCUGUGCCAGUGAAAUUCUGCCAUCAGCAAAUAUAUCUUUUCUGACUUUGAAAAUACUGAUGACAGUGGAGAUUAAAAUCCUACCAAGGCUGCUGCAGAAUCAAUGACACAUGAGGUGGCCAGGCAUGGUGGCUCACGACUGUAAUCCCAGCACUUUGGGAGGCCAAGGUGGGUGGAUCCCCUGAAGCCAAGAGUUCAAGACCAGCCAGGCUAACAUGGUGAAACUCCAUCUCUACUAAAAAUACAAAAAAUUAGCCGGGUGUGGUGGCACAUGCCUGUAAUCCCAGCUACUCAGGAGGCAGAGAGAGGAGAAUUGCCUGAGCCCAGAAGGUGGAGGUUGCAGUGAGCCGAGAUCAUGCCACUGCACUCCAGCCUGGGUAACAGAGUGAGACUCCGUCUCAAAAAAAAAAACAAAAAACAAAAAACAAAAAAAAAACACAUGAAGCUUUACCAGAAGAUUUCAGUAUGUCCUCCAGUGCGUAAUUCAUUUGUUCAACAAUUUUUACUGGGCAGGCAUUCUAAUAGAUGUUGAGGAUAUCACAAUAAAUAAGGCAAACAAAAUCUCUACCCUAUGGUAGAGAUUUUGAAAUAUCAAAUUAUUAAGUUUUAGGAAAAUUCAAUGACAAAAAGAAAGUCUUAUAAUAUUACCAUGUCCAGAUAAUGUAAGUAUUUACACAUUACUAUUUCAAUUUCAUUCAAUUUUUUUCUAAACUUUUAUUUUUUCAAACAUGUAAUCAUAAUAUAUUAGUGCUAAGUAUUAAAACAAUUUCUUAAUUCCCAUGUAAAUUUAAGGGUAUUUAAGCUUUUUUUUUUUUUUUUUUGAGACGGAGUUACACUCUUGUUGCUCAGGCUGGAGCUCAAUGGCGCGAUCUCAGCUCACCGCAACCUCCGCCUCAUGAGGUUCAAGCAAUUCUCCUGCCUCAGCCACCCCAAGUAGCUAGAAUUACAGGCAUGCGCCACCACGCACGUGGAAUCAGUUGUAUUGUUUCAAUACAACUUUUGGAAAUAAAAGUAUGGCAAAUUCUCACUCUCUUCCUUAGGUAAGCACCAAACUUUAAAAACAAAAGGCACUCACUAUAAGUGUGCUGUAGUGUUAUAAUGGCUAUGAGGUCAUUAAGAGAUAGGAAUUUUUCAGCCCGUUAUAAUCUUAGGGGACUAUUGUAUACGCAGUCUAUCAUUGACUAAAAUAUUAUUAGGCAGUAUAUGACUGUACUUUUGUUUAAGAUCUUAUGACAAAUCCAAAUAAAAA
rnacentral:lncRNA from 10 species